rnacentral:lncRNA from 1 species
GAUUCUCACUCCAUUUUUGCUCUAUAUAUGUGCUACUUAUCAUAAGUUCAUAACACUGAAGAAAACACAAAACGAAAAUGAAAAAUUUAUGUCAUGCAACAAGGAAAAGAAGAUCCAUCAGAAGUUCACUAAAGCUUGCCUUGACUGAAACGGCAUAUAUUCAUCAUUAGGAGCUAAUAACGAAAGUGUUUCUCAUCAUCAUGGAAUUUCAGUUUGACCGCUCCUGAUGAACACGUGUCAAUAUAUAUGCAGACUCUUGCAAAGAAAAUAAAUAACAGAAUCGUAGAGACUACAGAAUCUGCACCAGAGAAAUUGAAAUUUAUACCACAAAAUUCCAUAUUCGAAGAGAGUGCACGCAUGAUAGAUGCAUCCAUGCAUGCAUGGCGGCGGUGUGGUUGAUUGCUUGCUGCAUGGGAAUCUAAUAAUGGGACCCUAGCUCCCAGCAUCUUUGAUAUAUCGAAGAGAUGCUUGGUGAGAGAUGCAAGAGCAGCAGGAGGAGGAAGAAGAGCAGCAGGGAGGCUAGCCUAGCGCCAUUGUUGGUGCAGGUCCCUAUCCAAGCUUUUUCCUUGCGUGUGCUGCCACCUUUCCAUAUCCCUCUAAUCGUGUCAGAUUCCAAACCCCAUCGUCGCAAACUAAUAAC